AACGCACGAGACCUGCGGACCUGCGGAGGGAUCAUUACUGAAUAGCCAAAGAGAAAGAUUGAUGCUGACUCUUAGAGUAUGUGCACAUCUUUCUUGACGCAUUCAAAAUUCCCAUAUACAUUUGUGCACAUUUGUAGACUGAGCAUAUCAGUCUAUGUUUUUUUCUUCAAAACACUUUGAAAAAAGUUAUUAUGAAAAAUGUAUUCUAAUACAACUUUUAACAACGGAUCUCUAGAUCGG
rnacentral:misc_RNA from 1 species